rnacentral:rRNA from 1 species
UACGUAGGGUGCAAGCGUUGUCCGGAAUUAUUGGGCGUAAAGGGCUCGUAGGCGGUCCGUCACGUCGGGAGUGAAAUCCUGGGGCUUAACCCCAGAACUGCUUCCGAUACGGGCAGACUAGAGGUAGGUAGGGGAGAAUGGAAUUCCCGGUGUAGCGGUGAAAUGCGCAGAUAUCGGGAGGAACACCGGUGGCGAAGGCGGUUCUCUGGGCCUUACCUGACGCUGAGGAGCGAAAGCGUGGGGAGCGAACAGG